rnacentral:rRNA from 1 species
CAGCGCCACGGUAAUACGUAGGGUGCAAGCGUUAAUCGGAAUUACUGGGCGUAAAGCGUGCGCAGGCGGUUUGUUAAGACAGAUGUGAAAUCCCCGGGCUCAACCUGGGAACUGCAUUUGUGACUGGCAAGCUAGAGUAUGGCAGAGGGGGGUGGAAUUCCGCGUGUAGCAGUGAAAUGCGUAGAUAUGCGGAGGAACACCGAUGGCGAAGGCAGCCCCCUGGGCCAAUACUGACGCUCAUGCACGAAAGCGUGGGGAGCAAACAGGAUUAGAUACCCCGGUAGUCCCUGUCUCUUAUACA